AGGCAGUGCUCCACAGCUGCAGGCUGUCUGGUCAGCAGGCUAAUGAGGGAACUAGCUGGCACCUAUACCCGGUCAGCUGACCGGAAGGAGACAGGGCCCUGGGUACAUAUAAGCCCCAGGGCUGGCAGGGGUUAGCUCUCUGGCAGCAGCCAGGGGGAAGGAGCUCUUACGGGAAAAGCUACUUGGAGAUGCUGGGUUGCCUGUUCUGCUACUGGAGUGUACUUGGUAGGCAUGUUGGUCCCACCAGGGAAGGAAUCCUACCUGAUCUACACAUCAAAGAGCUACUCAGCACAGCUCACAAAGACACUCUCAUGGACCCAGAUGGAAACAGCCUUCCUUCUUCAGCUCCCUCUGUGCAAAAAUGAAGUUUAUUAACUACCUAGGGGGACUUUUUACCAUCUUGUACCAUCUAUACUUUUCCCAGAACCUGAUGAAGGGACUUUGAUCCUGAAAGCUUGCAGAAAAGGACAAUUUUCUUGCAAUUUCCCAGUUGGUCUAAUAAAAGGUAUCAUUUUGGAACCAAGA